rnacentral:rRNA from 1 species
GUAGGUCCCGAGCGUUGUCCGGGAUUUAUUGGGGCGUUAAAGCGAGCGCAGGCGGUUUGAUAAGUCUGAAGUUAAAGGCUGUGGGCUCAACCAUAGUUCGCUUUGGAAACUGUCAAACUUGAGUGCAGAAGGGGAGAGUGGAAUUCCAUGUGUAGCGGUGAAAUGCGUAGAUAUAUGGAGGAACACCGGUGGCGAAAGCGGCUCUCUGGUCUGUAACUGACGCUGAGGCUCGAAAGCGUGGGGAGCGAACAGGAUUAGAUACCCUGGUAGUCCACGCCGUAAACGAUGAGUGCUAGGUGUUGGAUCCUUUCCGGGAUUCAGUGCCGCAGCUAACGCAUUAAGCACUCCGCCUGGGGAGUACGACCGCAAGGUUG